GUCCACGCCGUAAACGAUGAGUGCUAGAUGCUGUGGGUAUUGACCCCCGCGGUGUCGCAGCCAACGCGUUAAGCACUCCGCCUGGGGAGUACGGCCGCAAGGCUAAAACUCAAAGGAAUUGACGGGGGCCCCGCACAAGCGGUGGAGCAUGUGGUUCAAUUCGACGCAACGCGCAGAACCUUACCUGGGUUAAAUCCACUCGAAUCUGGCAGAGAUGUCGGGGUGCCCUUCGGGGAACGAGUGAGAAGGUGCUGCAUGGCUGUCGU
rnacentral:rRNA from 1 species